AUCCAGCUGACGAGUUCCAAAUAGGACUAAACGCGCGUCUUGGAU
rfam:Schistosoma mansoni strain Puerto Rico chromosome 1, complete genome